UAAAGCCAGUGAUCAGUGUGUGUGACGGCCCAGAUACAAGAUGUUUUCACUGACAUGUCUGCUCUGUGUCUUUUAUCUCUGUAUAGAUGCCUCUUAUGGACAGAUUGUUCUGGAUCAGACUCCGGGAUAUAUCUCUGUGUCUCCGGGAGAGAAUGUGGUGAUGCAUUGCAAGCCAAGUUCUACUCUUACUUCUGGCUCAACCAGCUACUUAUACUGGUAUCAGAAGAAAGGAGAUCAGCCUCCGACACUUGUUAUCAAUCAGGCAAUCAAUCGUCAGUCUGGAGUCCCGGAGAGGUUCAGUGGCAGUAGGUCCGGAUCUCCAUACAAUGAUUUCACUCUUACAAUCAGUGGAGCUCUGAUAGAAGAUGAAGCAACUUAUAUCUGUGGUCAAAGUGGUUACAGCUUCCCAUUCACACAGUGAUACAGAGCCGUACAAAAACCUCCUUCCUCAUUAACACUGUAG